GCUGGGCGUGGUGGCACAUGCCUGUAGUUUCAGCUACUCAGGAGGCUGAGACAGGAGUAUCGCUGUGAGUCCAGUUGUUCUGGGCUGUAGUGUGCUAUACCGAGCGGUUGUCCACACUAAGUUCGUCAUCAAUAUGAUAACUUCUCGGUAGCAGGAGACCACCAGGUUGCCUAAGAAUGGGUGAAUCCAUUCAGGUAGGAAACAGAGCAGGUCAAACAAAACUCCUUUGCUAAUCAGUAGUGGGACUGCACCUGUGAAUAGCCACCACACUCCAGCCUGGGCAACAAUAUGAGAACCUGUCUCA
rnacentral:SRP_RNA from 1 species